CAGGGGUGCCAAAGGACUCAUUCAACAUUUGAAUGAUCUCUUUUGGCUGCGCAUCCUCGAACUUAUGACUAAGUUCAUCAUUCAUAGCUGCCCUCAUCAUACAAUGCACAGUCGUAUGAUCAUUGAGCCACCUCAUAUAAGUGUCUCUCACGACACGAGGAGCAUUGGCUGUAGAUUCUUCAGGUGUCUGAUCCGUAAGGAUGUACAAAAUUCUCUCGUACUCCAAGACAAUCUUCAACUUUCGAUACUAGCUAUCGAAGUUGGGUCA
rnacentral:lncRNA from 1 species